rnacentral:sRNA from 1 species
GUUUCACACACUAGAUAGCCUGUUAUUUUAAACAAAGAGUUUUAUUUUAAAAUGAUUUUUAAACAAUAACAUGUUUUUUUUGUCAUCAGAUAUUGUUUAAGACUCAAACGAGCCAAUUUUGAAAAACAUUGUUUACAAAAAUGAUAUGUAGUGGUUCCGCACAAAUUUUUUGUGCCAAAUAAUCCGCUUUGCCAAUAGCAUGUUAUUUUAAACAAUAGCAUGUUAUUUAAAAACAAACCCCGCAAAUAAAUUUCUCAAAAAGAUGUAUACCUAAUCGAGCAUGUUAAUAAUAUA